UACGUAGGUGGCAAGCGUUGUCCGGAUUUACUGGGCGUAAAGAGCGCGCAGGCGGUCGUUCAAGUCGCGUGUGAAAGCCCCCGGCUCAACUGGGGAGGGUCACGCGAUACUGAUCGACUCGAAGGCAGGAGAGGGUAGUGGAAUUCCCGGUGUAGUGGUGAAAUGCGUAGAUAUCGGGAGGAACACCAGUGGCGAAGGCGACUACCUGGCCUGUUCUUGAC
rnacentral:rRNA from 1 species